rnacentral:rRNA from 1 species
GAUGAACGCUGGCGGCGUGCUUAACACAUGCAAGUCGAACGGAAAGGCCCAAGCUUGCUUGGGUACUCGAGUGGCGAACGGGUGAGUAACACGUGGGUGAUCUGCCCUGCACUUCGGGAUAAGCCUGGGAAACUGGGUCUAAUACUGGAUAGGACCACUUCUUGGAGGUUGUGGGGGAAAGUUUUUUCGGUGUGGGAUGAGCUCGCGGCCUAUCAGCUUGUUGGUGGGGUAAUGGCCUACCAAGGCGUCGACGGGUAGCCGGCCUGAGAGGGUGUACGGCCACAUUGGGACUGAGAUACGGCCCAGACUCCUACGGGAGGCAGCAGUGGGGAAUAUUGCACAAUGGGCGCAAGCCUGAUGCAGCGACGCCGCGUGGGGGAUGACGGCCUUCGGGUUGUAAACUCCUUUCGCUAGGGACGAAGCGUUUUGUGACGGUACCUGGAGAAGAAGCACCGGCUAACUACGUG